rnacentral:rRNA from 1 species
AAAACGCUCGUAGUUGAAAUUUUGUCGGGGGCUGCUGUUCCAUCCUCGUGAUGCGUACACGGUAUGCUCUCGGCAUUUUCCUAGGGACAGUGUUCGCACUUUAUUGUGUGGCAUUUGAUCCAGCACCAUUACUUUGAGAAAAUGAGAGUGUUCCAAGCGGGCGUUCGCCAGAAAUAUAUUAGCAUGGAAUAAUAGCAUAGGACCUCAUUCUGACCCUGUUGGUUAUUGGAAUGAGGUAACGCAAAUAGGGAUAGUUGGGGGCAUUCGUAUUUAACUGUCAGAGGUGAAAUUCUUGGAUUUUUUAAAGACGGACUACUGCGAAAGCAUCUGCCCAGGAUGUUUUUAUUAAUCAAGAACGAAAGUUAGGGGAUCGAAGACGAUCAGAUACCGUCCUAGUCUUAACCAUAAACUAUGCCGACUAGAGAUUGGAGGUGUCAGUAUUGACUCCUCCAGCAGCUUGAGAGUAAUCAAAGUCUUCGGGUUCCGGGGGGAGUAUGGUCGCAAGGCUGAAACUUAAAGGAAUUGACGGAAGGGCACCACCAGGAGUGGAGCCUGCGGCUUAAUUUGACUCAACACGGGGAAACUUACCAGGUCCAGACAUAGAGAGGAUUGACAGACUGAUAGCUCUUUCU